rnacentral:tRNA from 1 species
AGAGUAUGUAGCUAACAAAGUUUUUUACUUACACUAAUUAGAUAUCUAAAAGAUUAUACUU